rnacentral:Y_RNA from 1 species
GACUGAUCCGAGGGUAGUGGUGUUGACAAUUAAUUGGUCAAAACCUGUUACAGAUAUCUUUGUUCCUUCUCCAUUCCCACUGCUUCAUUUGACUAGCCUUAA